AGACAGCUUUUGAAGGAAAUCCAGGAAGACCCACGGGACAGAUUACUGUAACUCAGCUCAGAAGACACGGUUCUACUCCUCACUGCAUUUCUGCAGUGGCUUGCAGAAUAAAUUCCUCCAUCUUCCUAAACCUGCUGUAUUCCCCGAAUAAGAUUCAGGUGCAGAAAUUAGGUCCAAACAAUUGGCUACUUGUGAGAACACACACAGAGAUGAAUCAACCUGUACCCUGCACCUGAAGCCAAUACAUACACUUCCGAAGGAAGCAUCCAAAUAACAGAUCUUCCACUUGUUCUACAUACCCAGACACUGAAACUACUCAGAAGUGUGGGGAGGAGAUGUUGAGAAAUCCCUUAUUUAUCGACUCCCGGAAAAUUAGAUUCACAUGUUACGCAUGAAUAAGUUUUUCUGAAUACCUGUCUGGUGCGUCACCAGUCGAUGGCUAACGAUGAGAAAUACCUAACUCUACAAAUGGCAAAGGACAUAUGUGGCAAGGUGUCUGAUGAUGAGGAAUGAAGGAGGAGUUUCUUCUUCUUCUCCUCCCGUAUGCCACACUACGGAGGUCUGAAUACAAGGGACACAGAUGCUAAUACACCGGCUAGAUUUAUGGAAUCUGCAGUAUCUCGGGCAAGCCAUCUCAAGUCUUUUAUGGAAGGAGGCAGAGGAAGCAUCCAAAAUAAAUAACUCAAAUGGCCCGUGCAGUAUAAACUAAAAUUAGGGUAAAUAAAUGAAUACUAGCGUGA